AUGCUUACUUGGCAGGGAGAUAUCAUGAUCAUGAAGGUGACUUUCCCAGGGCAAGUCUUCUUCACUGCAGUCCGGAUGUGCUGUCCCCUGUGAUUUCCCCAAAUGUGGGAAUUUCGACUACAUAAUUUGUGGUAGUGGGGGACUGGGUUAGGUCCAUGCCCUGA